rnacentral:rRNA from 1 species
AUUGAACGCUGGCGGCAGGCCUAACACAUGCAAGUCGAGCGGAUGAAGGGAGCUUGCUCCUGGAUUCAGCGGCGGACGGGUGAGUAAUGCCUAGGAAUCUGCCUGGUAGUGGGGGAUAACGUCCGGAAACGGGCGCUAAUACCGCAUACGUCCUGAGGGAGAAAGUGGGGGAUCUUCGGACCUCACGCUAUCAGAUGAGCCUAGGUCGGAUUAGCUAGUUGGUGGGGUAAAGGCCUACCAAGGCGACGAUCCGUAACUGGUCUGAGAGGAUGAUCAGUCACACUAGAACUGAGACACGGUCCAGACUCCUACGGGAGGCAGCAGUGGGGAAUAUUGGACCAUGGGCGAAAGCCUGAUCCAGCCAUGCCGCGUGUGUGAAGAAGGUCUUCGGAUUGUAAAGCACUUUAAGUUGGGAGGAAGGGCAGUAAGUUAAUACCUUGCUGUUUUGACGUUACCAACAGAAUAAGCACCGGCUAACUUCGUG